rnacentral:siRNA from 1 species
AGUUGUAUUGCGGGUGACUUUUG